rnacentral:snoRNA from 1 species
AGGCAGGAUCUAGUUACAUUGUAGCUGUGAAGUGCUGCAUUGUCUUUGCCCCCUGCUCAAAAUAAAACUGUUACCUUUCAAGCCCUGUCUGCCAUGGUGCUGUAGCAGCAGGGAUGUUUGGUCUCAUACAUGU